CACCGCCCGGUCCUCCCACCUCUCCACUCUCUCGUUUCUGGCUCGACCCCGACGCCUCACUCUUCUUCUCGCCCGAGCGCUGCUCGCUGUCCCGGUCCGUCGCCUCCCCUCUCCGCACCCGAGGUGCUCCUCCGGCCGCGCCACCCUCGUCCCGCACGCGAGAGCUCGUCCAAGCUGCCGCCGCCCGCUCUCCUCCCAUCUCCUCGUCGCCCCUCCAUCGAGCUACGCCCCCGCCGGACUUCUGUGAUGCAGCACGCCGCGCCACUACACCCCUGCAAACCCUCGACGCGGCGGCCUCCUCUUCUUCGGCCCUGGCGCCGCCGGACCUUCCUCACCGGCCGCCGUGCUCCAUCUCGACCAUCUCCGCCCCGUCUCAAGGCAGUCCAGCGCGCGACCCCUCCUCUGCUCUGUUCCGUGAGCGCGCCCGCGCGGCCUUCCCCGCAUCGAGCGCAGCCGGCUGACCUGGCACAUCACGCGGCCGCCCCUGGCCGUUGUGCCUCAAGUUCUCCGCGCCAUGGUCUUCCCCGCCAUAACCUCCUCAAGCUCGACCGCCUCCAGUUUUGUCGGCUGCAUCGUUCCUCUGCUCGUUUGGUAGUGGUGCCUCCAGUGCUACUGCCUUGUAUUCUCGGUGGUUUUGUUGAUAUAUGCUGUGAAAAUGCUAGAGCUCGUGUGAUGUGGUGAUUUUUUCCUGUUGAAGUUGGUGAUCUGCCGGUGUUGGUGAUGCGUGGUGCUGUGUGUGGGCUGAUGAGGUUGCUGCUACAACUCCACUCUGGUUUGGUGAUGUGAUGGUUGUGCUGAUGUGUUACCCGAGGCGACGCAAAAUAAUCUUCAAGAUCCUCCCCGAGAUGAAACCAAGUACGCUGCAACCAAGAUUGGCAUCAACGCCACUCGUAGACCAUCGCUGUCUAUUUCAUGUUCGCCAUCGACAACCGAAGCCGGAACCCCAAGUUCUUCCUCGCAGUUUCAAAGUCCGAGACCUCGCUUCAUCUUCUUCCUCUUCGAACCCGAAUCCGACGUCCGCUCUCCGAUCCGAUGCUCAUUUGCUUCUUCCCGGAUAGGAUCGCGAAGUGGUGUUGUGAGAUACGACGAGAUCUCCGGAUGUCCCUCGGCAAGCUUUAACAGGCAAGCAUUUCCCCUAUACUCCUGCCCCUGCAGAAGUCGCUCACCUAUUUUAUUUUGCCUUCUCCCUCAUGCUAUCCUUAAGUUGCAUUCUUGUCAUGUGUCCCUUCCACUUGUUACCUCAAGCAACCCAUAUUGCCACAACCACCUCCUACGGCUAUUGUUUGGUUAUCGGGUAUGCCUUGCGAGUCGUAGUGCAUGCUAGUGCUAUUUUAUCUCGUUACCGUUAUUAUUAUCUUAUCGGGUUAUAUGUUGGGAAGAAUCAUCGUUACUUUAGUUGUUGAUAAAUGUUUAGCGGAGGCAUCGGUGGGUCAGCUGAUCGUUUUGUGACGGCUCACUUGUGUUUCCUAAAUAUCUUAGGACCCCGAGUUCUUGUUAUCUAUUCCGAGACUGAGCGCUCUUAACCACACGUGGGUAUGCUUACCGGGUCUCCCCUUGACCACUACCAGAUUCUACAGCUUUGUCCAGUGGCCACAGUUAGUUUGAAUGCUUUGUUUCUCUCGGGCGUGCAAGCUUCUUUCUUUGUGGUCAGAUGAUAUGAUAUUACUUUUGGGGAAGCCGUGAGUGCCUUGUAACCCCGUUGUCUCUUGCACGCUCGUAGGUGCGGUCCGCAUUGUUAAGAGGUCAUCCUCUAGUGGGCUCUGAUCCUCUUAGCCGUUCUCGCAACAGCUAGGUCCGUCUCGGAGAGUCGGCCGGACUCUGAUUCGGGUUUAACUUAGUUAGGUGGCUUCCUGGACAUUGUUGUCGUGAAGGAGAGUGCGAGUCGUGAUAUCCACCUGUCGUAAGUGGGUUGAACGUGCGUGUGGGCACAUUUGGGCACCCCUGCAGGGUUACAAUCUUAUCGAUAAGCUGUGUCCGCGGUUAUGGACGACUUGGAGCUGUAUGACUCGACCAUAGACAACUUUCACCUGUAGUUUAUCAAAAAUAACUUGCGUAGUAAGUUAGCACAAAUUCAAUAAUAAGUGGUUAAAACUUGUCAACCGUGUGAGUGCCUUUAUAAGUACUUCCUUGCGAGGGGGGAACAAAUUGGUUGUGUUAUGUUCGAAGAGUAUAGAAAUGCUAGUUUAUGCGCUCUCUCACCUUCUCUGAUUAGCCGAAUGUUGUAGAGUGUCUCUAUAGGUUUUUAGUGCUUGGGCGCUGCCGCUUAACCCCACCAUAUUGCCUAUGACGUUCCUCUUGCGUCCUCUAAGUCCCUUGCGUGCCUCAAGUACAAAGGACGACUGGUUGACGAAUGCUUAUACGUCUUGAAGUCCUGUUAAGUACGAACUCGUACUUAUUACUGCUUCUACGGGACAUAACCGGGCAGGUAUGAAGAUAUGUUCGAAGAAGACGACGUUAGCAAGGUUACCCUUCCGGCUUGGCCUGGGCAGGGUUAUGGACGCCAUUGGUUAUCUUCAGGACUCUUAGUCCAAUUUGUAUCUUGUCCGUACUCGGAUGUAUUUGAUCUUCUGUAUGAUUUGGAUCUUUGUAUUGUCUAUUUGUAUCUUGACUCGUUGGAGUCGUUGUUGUAAUAUAUGUAUCUUGUGGGCUCUA